UCCAGCAAAUCCAAUGAAGGGUGUCAAGUCAAAUUCUAUCUUUUCAUUGAUCAUAUCCAAUAUGGACUCCUCAUUAAUGAGCAAAUCAAUCAAGCUUCGAUUGAUUAGUCUCCCUUCAUUCACUUUUUGACGAUCAAUCAAGGCUCCGCAAUUCAUACUUUUGAAGCUUCGCAGUAAUUGCAGACCUCUAUUGGAAUUGACGCUUCUUUUAAUCAUGGUGGGUUUACCAAAACCAUAUACUCCUUGAUAAAUUUUGGACAUGCUUUCAUUAAUUGAUUCACACGCCUCAAAUUUACUCUGUAAAUUGAAAAUAUGGCCUGGCCUACCACCCAAAUGCAUUACAUGCUUAUCUGGGGAGAAGUUAAAAUUCCUGAUUUCAGAACCCAAGUGAAGGCAUAUGAACCAAUCCAUCACUAAACAAAUUCUCUGAAUUUCUGACUCCAGUAAUGGU
rnacentral:misc_RNA from 1 species